AUUGAACGCUGGCGGCGUGCCUAACACAUGCAAGUCGAGCGGUAACAGGUGUAGCAAUACAUGCUGACGAGCGGCGAACGGGUGAGUAAUGCUUUGGAAUCUUCCCAGUAGUGGGGAAUAACCAGUCGAAAGAUUGGCUAAUACCGCAUACGUCUGUAAAGGGAAAGCGGGGGCUCGUAAGACCUCGCGCUAUUGGAUGAGCCAAAGUCGGAUUAGCUAGUUGGUGGGGUAAUGGCCUACCAAGGCGACAAUCCGUAGCUGGUCUGAGAGGACGACCAGCCACACCGGAACUGAGACACGGUCCGGACUCCUACGGGAGGCAGCAGUGGGGAAUAUUGGACAAUGGGGGAAACCCUGAUCCAGCGACGCCGCGUGUGUGAAGAAGGCCUGCGGGUUGUAAAGCACUUUUAGUGGGGACAAAAAGCUACGGAUUAAUACUCUGUGGUCUUGAUUUAACCCAAAGAAAAAGCAUCGGCUAACUCCGUGCCAGCAGCCGCGGUAAUAC
rnacentral:rRNA from 1 species